GCAGUCAUUUACUUUUUCAGCUCCAUCCUAUAGUACUAACAGUCUGGAGGUCAUCCUGAAGAAAACACCUAUCAGUCCUGGAUGAAUGAGUCAUCAUGACAGUGCAGAUACCCAUGUCAAUGCAUAAAUGGGCAGACAACUAAGACCAGUGACCAGCUCCAUAAUUGAAUGAAUCACCUUUACCACUGUGAAAGGAGUCAGAUGAGAUACUCGAAGUCUGUCAACAUUUCCAAAAAAAUCAAAUACUCAACAGAGGGAGCUAGAAUCUUCCAACAGAUUUCUCAAAGACAAACCGCUAAUCAAGCAAAAUGAAUGAAAAUACAUGACAAAAUUGCACUACUGGCUUCUGUGAAAGGUUUAUCAGCUCCUUAAAGAUGGAACAAAUGCAGUUUGUGGUUGCCAAGGGGGGACAUUAUGAGUUGAGAUGCAAUGAUGGUUUCAGUUAAAUUAGAAUUAGAACUCAUUCCAAAACUGCUAGUACAAUUACACAAAUGUUCAAAUUUCUCAUUAAGUUGGCUCAGUUAAUCAACGUUUUCUAAUCAUGUUUCUCCUGGUUCAUUUUCAAGUGAUUAUUUGUGCAAAGUGUUUUGUGAGCAGCAUCUUGUUAUCUUUUGUGUCGCUGAAGAAUUUGCCAGGAAGCUUUUGCCGUACCAGUGCAUUCUCCAAGACUCCUUAGCUGACUAUCAUAAUCAGUAUGACAAGUUUUAAUUAGACAAGAUAUGGGCAGUAUUUACAAAAGGAUUAGGCAUUUCUAUUGAUUGAAAACUAUCCGGCAAGUAAGUGUGAAAGUGAAAUGUGCCCUUUGCUUCAAGCACGUGCACAUCAAAUUACCUUCUUUCUAUGGCUCAGGAAAAUAAAUCUUUCU